rnacentral:rRNA from 1 species
UUGAACGCUGGCGGCAUGCUUUACCCAUGCAAGUCGAACGGCAGCGCGGGCUUCGGCCUGGCGGCGAGUGGCGAACGGGUGAGUAAUGCGUCGGAACGUGCCCAGUAGUGGGGGAUAGCCCGGCGAAAGCCGGAUUAAUACCGCAUACGACCUGAGGGUGAAAGCGGGGGACCGAAAGGCCUCGCGCUAUUGGAGCGGCCGAUGUCGGAUUAGCUAGUUGGUGGGGUAAAGGCUUACCAAGGCGACGAUCCGUAGCUGGUCUGAGAGGACGACCAGCCACACUGGGACUGAGACACGGCCCAGACUCCUACGGGAGGCAGCAGUGGGGAAUUUUGGACAAUGGGGGCAACCCUGAUCCAGCCAUGCCGCGUGCGGGAAGAAGGCCUUCGGGUUGUAAACCGCUUUUGUUCGGGAAGAAAUCCUCUGGGCUAAUACCCCGGGGGGAUGACGGUACCGGAAGAAUAAGCACCGGCUAACUACGUG